CUAAUACCGUAUAUUCCAGAAAUGGGAAAGAUUUAUCGCUAUGAGAUUGGCCCGCGCAAGAUUAGUUUGUUGGUAAGGUAAUGGCUUACCAAGGCUACGAUCUUUAGCUGGUUUGAGAGGAUGAUCAGCCACACUGGGACUGAGACACGGCCCAGACUCCUACGGGAGGCAGCAGUAGGGAAUAUUGGACAAUGGGGGCAACCCUGAUCCAGCAAUGCAGCGUGAGUGACGAAGGCCUUAUGGUUGUAAAACUCUUUCAUCGGUGAGGAU
rnacentral:rRNA from 1 species